GUCGAGCGGCGGACGGGUGAGUAAUGCCUGGGAAAUUGCCCUGAUGUGGGGGAUAACCAUUGGAAACGAUGGCUAAUACCGCAUAAUAGCUUCGGCUCAAAGAGGGGGACCUUCGGGCCUCUCGCGUCAGGAUAUGCCCAGGUGGGAUUAGCUAGUUGGUGAGGUAAGGGCUCACCAAGGCGACGAUCCCUAGCUGGUCUGAGAGGAUGAUCAGCCACACUGGAACUGAGACACGGUCCAGACUCCUACGGGAGGCAGCAGUGGGGAAUAUUGCACAAUGGGCGCAAGCCUGAUGCAGCCAUGCCGCGUGUAUGAAGAAGGCCUUCGGGUUGUAAAGUACUUUCAGCAGUGAGGAAGGUGAUGUAGUUAAUAACUGCAUCAUUUGACGUUAGCUGCAGAAGAAGCACCGGCUAACUCCGUGCCAGCAGCCGCGGUAAUACGGAGGGUGCGAGCGUUAAUCGGAAUUACUGGGCGUAAAGCGCAUGCAGGUGGAUGAUUAAGUCAGAUGUGAAAGCCCGGGGCUCAACCUCGGAAUUGCAUUUGAAACUGGUCAUCUAGAGUACUGUAGAGGGGGGUAGAAUUUCAGGUGUAGCGGUGAAAUGCGUAGAGAUCUGAAGGAAUACCGGUGGCGAAGGCGGCCCCCUGGACAGAUACUGACACUCAGAUGCGAAAGCGUGGGGAGCAAACAGGAUUAGAUACCCUGGUAGUCCACGCCGUAAACGAUGUCUACUUGGAGGUUGUGGCCUUGAGCCGUGGCUUUCGGAGCUAACGCGUUAAGUAGACCGCCUGGGGAGUACGGUCGCAAGAUUAAAACUCAAAUGAAUUGACGGGGGCCCGCACAAGCGGUGGAGCAUGUGGUUUAAUUCGAUGCAACGCGAAGAACCUUACCUACUCUUGACAUCCAGAGAAYUUUCCAGAGAUGGAUURGUGCCUUCGGGAACUCUGAGACAGGUGCUGCAUGGCUGUCGUCAGCUCGUGUUGUGAAAUGUUGGGUUAAGUCCCGCAACGAGCGCAACCCUUAUCCUUGUUUGCCAGCGAGUAAUGUCGGGAACUCCAGGGAGACUGCCGGUGAUAAACCGGAGGAAGGUGGGGACGACGUCAAGUCAUCAUGGCCCUUACGAGUAGGGCUACACACGUGCUACAAUGGCGCAUACAGAGGGCAGCAAGCUAGCGAUAGUGAGCGAAUCCCAAAAAGUGCGUCGUAGUCCGGAUUGGAGUCUGCAACUCGACUCCAUGAAGUCGGAAUCGCUAGUAAUCGUGGAUCAGAAUGCCACGGUGAAUACGUUCCCGGGCCUUGUACACACCGCCCGUCACACCAUGGGAGUGGGCUGCAAAAGAAGU
rnacentral:rRNA from 1 species